AUAGCGUAUAUUAAAGUUGUUGCAGUUAAAAAGCUCGUAGUUGAACUUCAGACCUGGCUGGACGGUCUGCCUAACGGUAUGUACUGUCUGGCUGGGCCUUACCUCUUGGUGAGCCGGCAUGCCCUUCACUGGGUGUGUCGGGGAACCAGGACUUUUACCUUGAGAAAAUUAGAGUGUUCAAAGCAGGCUUAUGCUCGAAUACAUUAGCAUGGAAUAAUAAAAUAGGACGUGCGGUUCUAUUUUGUUGGUUUCUAGAGUCGCCGUAAUGAUUAAUAGGGACAGUUGGGGGCAUUAGUAUUGAGUUGCUAGAGGUGAAAUUCUUGGAUUUACUCAAGACUAACUACUG
rnacentral:rRNA from 1 species